AUUGAACGCUGGCGGAAUGCUUUACACAUGCAAGUCGAGCGGCAGCGCGGGGGCAACCCUGGCGGCGAGCGGCGAACGGGUGAGUAACAUAUCGGAACGUACCCAGUCGUGGGGGAUAACUAUCCGAAAGGAUAGCUAAUACCGCAUACGUCCUGAGGGAGAAAGCGGGGGAUCGCAAGACCUCGCGCGAUUGGAGCGGCCGAUAUCGGAUUAGCUAGUUGGUGGGGUAAAGGCUCACCAAGGCGACGAUCCGUAGCGGGUCUGAGAGGACGACCCGCCACACUGGAACUGAGACACGGUCCAGACUCCUACGGGAGGCAGCAGUGGGGAAUUUUGGACAAUGGGGGCAACCCUGAUCCAGCCAUUCCGCGUGAGUGAAGAAGGCCUUCGGUUGUAAG
rnacentral:rRNA from 1 species